CCUACGGGUGGCAGCAGUGGGGAAUAUUGCACAAUGGGCGCAAGCCUGAUGCAGCCAUGCCGCGUGUGUGAAGAAGGCCUUCGGGUUGUAAAGCACUUUCAGCGGGGAGGAAGGCGGUGAGGUUAAUAACCUCAUCGAUUGACGUUACCCGCAGAAGAAGCACCGGCUAACUCCGUGCCAGCAGCCGCGGUAAUACGGAGGGUGCAAGCGUUAAUCGGAAUUACUGGGCGUAAAGCGCACGCAGGCGGUCUGUCAAGUCGGAUGUGAAAUCCUCGGGCUCAACCUGGGAACUGCAUUCGAAACUGGCAGGCUAGAGUCUUGUAGAGGGGGGUAGAAUUCCAGGUGUAGCGGUGAAAUGCGUAGAGAUCUGGAGGAAUACCGGUGGCGAAGGCGGCCCCCUGGACAAAGACUGACGCUCAGGUGCGAAAGCGUGGGGAGCAAACAGGAUUAGAUACCCGGGUAGUC
rnacentral:rRNA from 1 species